rnacentral:lncRNA from 1 species
CACACAUCUUUCCCACUCUGGCAAUCACUCUUCCUAAAGUCAGACACCAUUUCGAAGGGACUCUCAGCAAAUGAUGGCAGUUGAUGGUGGAAUAUAACUUCCCGAGGAAUACUGGUCUCUGGUGCUGGGACACAGGGAAGAGAUCAGGACUGAACCAGGAAAGUGAUGGUCCUUGGGCAGUUUGGAAAAGGAAGUGGCUGCUUGGCUCCUCUGCAGUCGGAUCAGCAGGAUGGAGGGGAAGAGAUUUCGGUGUCUGGAAGAGCUAAGUCAGGGGUGAUCCCUCAAAUUGCCCCAUUCCUGUUGGGGUCUGCCCAACUCCCCACGCAGCAAAGAAGCAAGGACAGCGUCUACCCUGUGAUCUACCGGCCGAGAUGGAAGGAGAACAGGGAAUACAGUUCCCAAGCAGAGUCCCGGCUACUGCUGGGCUUCUAACUG